UACAGGGGGGGCAAGCGUUGUUCGGAAUUACUGGGCGUAAAGGGCUUGUAGGUGGCCAACUAAGUCACACGUGAAAUCCCCAGGCUUAACCUGGGAACUGCGUGUGAUACUGGAUGGCUUGAAUCCGGGAGAGGGAUGCGGAAUUCCAGGUGUAGCGGUGAAAUGCGUAGAUAUCUGGAGGAACACCGGUGGCGAAGGCGGCAUCCUGGACCAAUAGUGACGCUGAGGAGCGAAAGCCAGGGGAGCAAACGGG
rnacentral:rRNA from 1 species